UUUGUUACAUUUAAUAAUGCAUCUAAUAAUAAUGUAGCUAUCUAAUUAUUAAAAGACUCUUUUCAUCUCAUUCUUAAUGAGAAAUUGUUUCAUAUUAGAUGUGUAUGUUAUAUUUUAAAUCUUUCUGUUCCAGCCAGAAUAAGCAUGGUUCAAAAUAUAAUUGUAACAAUUAGGAAUGCAGUAUCUUUUAUUCAUGAUUCAAGAGCACG
rnacentral:lncRNA from 1 species